CAGCCGCCGCGGGAACACGUAGGGCGCAAGCGUUGUCCGGAAUUAUUGGGCGUAAAGAGCUCGUAGGCGGUCUGUCGCGUCUGGUGUGAAAUCCCGAGGCUCAACCUCGGGCUUGCAUCGGGUACGGGCAGACUAGAGUGCGGUAGGGGAGACUGGAAUUCCUGGUGUAGCGGUGGAAUGCGCAGAUAUCAGGAGGAACACCGAUGGCGAAGGCAGGUCUCUGGGCCGCAACUGACGCUGAGGAGCGAAAGCAUGGGGAGCGAACAGGAUUAGAGACCCCUGUAGUCCCUGUCUCUUAUAC
rnacentral:rRNA from 1 species